ACGCUCGACACCUACGGGAGGCGGCAGUGGGGAAUAUUGCACAAUGGGGGAAACCCUGAUGCAGCAACGCCGCGUGAAGGAAGACGGUUUUCGGAUUGUAAACUUCUGUUCUUAGUGAAGAUAGUGACGGUAGCUAAGGAGCAAGCCACGGCUAACUACGUGCAGCAGCCGCGGUAAUCUGAGCGGGCUGGCAAGGC
rnacentral:rRNA from 1 species